AGAGUUUGAUCCUGGCUCAGGAUGAACGCUAGCGACAGGCUUAACACAUGCAAGUCGAGGGGCAUCACGAUAUAGUAAUAUAUUGGUGGCGACCGGCGCACGGGUGAGUAACACGUAUGCAACCUGUCCUUCACCGGGGUAUAUCCCAUGGAAACGUGGAUUAAUCCCCCAUAGAGUCUUGUAUCUGCAUGGAUGUAAGAUGAAAGAAUUUCGGUGAUGUGAUGGGCAUGCGUCCUAUUAGGUAGUAGGCGGGGUAACGGCCCACCUAGCCGACGAUAGGUAGGGGUUCUGAGAGGAAGGUCCCCCACACUGGAACUGAGACACGGUCCAGACUCCUACGGGAGGCAGCAGUGAGGAAUAUUGGUCAAUGGCCUGACGGCUGAACCAGCCAAGUCGCGUGAGGGAUGACAGCCCUAUGGGUUUUAAACCUCUUUUGUUGGAGAAGAAUAAAAAUCACGUGUGAUUUGAUGCCAGUAUCCAACGAAUAAGCAUCGGCUAACUCCGUGCCAGCAGCCGCGGUAAUACGGAGGAUGCGAGCGUUAUCCGGAUUUAUUGGGUUUAAAGGGUGCGUAGGCUGUUUCGGUAAAAUCGUCGGGCUUCACCCGAUCCCGCCGUUAAAACUGCAUGACUAGAGUACAUUUGAGGCAGGCGGAAUAAGUUAAGUAGCGGUGAAAUGCUUAGAUAUAACUUAGAACCCCGAUUGCGUAGGCAGCUUGCCAAACUGUAACUGACGCUGAUGCACGAGAGCGUGGGUAUCGAACAGGAUUAGAUACCCUGGUAGUCCACGCUGUAAACUAUGCUUACUGGCUCUAUGCGAUAUAUAGUAUGGGGCUGAGCGAAAGUAUUAAGUAAGCCACCUGGGGAGUACGUUCGCAAGAAUGAAACUCAAAGGAAUUGACGGGGGCCCGCACAAGCGGAGGAACAUGUGGUUUAAUUCGAU
rnacentral:rRNA from 1 species